CCGGUCGCUGUCAGUUCGGAGCGGCUCAGGGCACUAGCUUCCCUCACAAUGUUAGUGUGAAGAUGGCACAGAGGGAAACAGCGCUGCAUCUUUUCGCAGGAGGGUGUGGAGGAACAGUGGGGGCAAUUGUCACUUGCCCAUUGGAAGUGAUUAAGACUAGACUCCAGUCCUCAGGCUUAACACUUCGUCCAGUCUACAUUCCACAAGUCAACCUUAAUACAAUCAAUGGAUCGGGUGUUGUGCGACCAACACGUGUAGCACCUGGACUUUUCCAGGUUCUAAGAUCUAUUUUAGAAAAGGAGGGCCCACGGUCACUUUUCAGAGGAUUGGGACCUAACUUGAUUGGCGUUGCUCCAUCCAGGGCAAUCUACUUUGCUGCGUACUCCAAAGCCAAGGAGAAAUGUAAUGCAAUCUUUGUACCACACUCUAAUGUUGUCAACAUGUGUUCUGCUGGUUUUGCAAGCUUUAUUACAAAUACAUUGAUGAACCCUAUUUGGUUGGUGAAAACAAGGAUGCAGUUGGAAAGCAGGAAACGAGGUGUUAAAGCAACAAAUGCUUUCCAGUGUGCAAAGUACGUUUAUCAAACUGAAGGAUUCAAAGGCUUUUACAGAGGUUUGACUGCCUCAUAUGCUGGGAUCUCCGAGACUGUGAUUCAUUUUGUUAUUUAUGAAGCCUUGAAGAAACAUUUAGAGGAAUGGAGGUUCACUGUAAGGGAAAACGACAAGAAUGCAUCAGACUUUCUAGGACUGAUGAUGGCUGCUGGCUUUUCAAAGACUUGUGCAUCUUGUACUGCUUAUCCUCAUGAGGUAAUAAGGACACGAUUAAGGGAGGAAGGCACAAAGUACAAGUCAUUUUUGCAAACUGCACGUUUAGUGGCAAUAGAGGAAGGUUACAGUGCUUUCUAUAGAGGACUGCAAGCUCAGCUGAUUCGCCAGAUUCCAAACACUGCAAUAAUGAUGACUACCUAUGAACUGAUUGUUCAUGUUUUGGGAUAGUGUUGGAAGUAAAAGGACACCAAGCAAUCAAAGGAUUCUGUUUUGUCGCACUGCAAUAUCAUAAUGAGCCACAAACUAAGGGAAAAUGUGGCAAGUCACUGACCAGAUUAGAAAUUGUUCAUGUCAACUAUAAAGUUACAGAAUGGCGGAAGGACGGUGUAACAUUGCAAGCUUUGACUGUCCGAACCUUAUCAGCAAUGGGAGGCUGAAGUUGAAAUGUGGACCCGGGUUACUUCCAUAUCCCGAAAGAAGCAAGCUUUGGCUUUGGGGUUGUCAUUACCAGUCAAAAGUAAGAUAAGAAGUAAGAUAUUUUCAGAGUGGAAAGUGGAUGAUUUGGAUCACGAAGAGGGAUUGGACCUUCGGUUACAAUUUUUGGAUAAGUUUUACAAAAAGGAUGUGUUAUUGGAAACGUAUGAAGUUUGGACGAUCUUUGAUAGGUUUGGGAAAUCGGAUGAUCAGUCCAUGGAAGAAUAUAUCAUGGAUUUUAAUAAAUGAUGCAGGAGACUACAGAGAUUUGAACUUGAAGUUCCGGAAUCGGUAUUGGCAGUUAAAUUACUGGACUGUGCUCGCAUUUCUCAUGUUGAUUGUCUUUUAGUACUAACAGGGGUUCAAUUCCGGGGGAAAGAACCUCUCCGAGAUCAAAUGACUGCUGCCCUGAAAAAAUUUCUGGAGAAACAGUUGUUCCCUGCCACUUUCUUAGCAAAUGCGAACAACUAUGCUGUAAAACAAAGGAUAGACGAUUCAAUGGUGGCUGAAUUUCGAGGUCGACCAAAUGUUAGACAAAGAUUCCAAUACAAAGAUUAUGAGGAGCAGACGAUGGCAGAUACAGGGUUGACUGACUAUGAACAAAGUAAUACUGAGGUACAGGACAAGGCUAUUCAUCCCAAAAGGGCAACAACCCAAGUAGGAACAAAGGUAACAUACAUGCCAGAAGGGACCAGUGUGGGAGGGAUGUCACUAUCAUAGGGAGAGCUGGAAAGGCCACUGGUAAAUAGAAACAUUGGCUAAAUGUGCAGGAUGAAGUUCAGGAGACAAGACCUAUCAAUUGGCAAACCGAGGUAAAGAUGUGGAAACCCAGAAAACGCAAUAUGAGUUCUAACAGUGGACCAGAAAGUGGUCGAGACCCUAGAAAAAAAUCACAGACUUGCGAACACGAUUCUGCUCACAUGGAAGAAUGAUCAUAUAGUAAUAGUCCAGAAAGGGAAAGGAAUGCGAGUAGAGGCUGUAGCUUAACAAGGAGGACUAGAAAGCAAGCUAGCAAUCUCAAUAGAAGUAGAAGUCCUUAUGGACAAGAGAUACUAGUAGGUGCUAAUAAAUUGGAAAAUAAGCUGAUAAAGGAAGCCAAACAGAAAGAGUUAAAGUUGGAAGGAAUUUGGGGUAUAUUCUGAAAUACAUGACAAAGGACAGCCAGCUUUAUCUCACUGAUGGAUCUGUACAGAAAAGGUACUCCCAGACAGCGCAUAUAAGGCCAAAGCGAGAUUAGUAGCCCAAGGCUUUGAAGAGAGACUAGGAGAUCAGGAUGUCAGAGUGGACUCACCUACAGUGUGGAAAGUGAGUCUGAAGAUUUUUUAAGCUAUUUUGGCAUCCUAUUCAUGGGAGUGCAAAUCGAUUGAUAUAAAGGCUGCGUUUUUACAGGGGGAUAAGUUUCAAAGGGAAGUUUUUUUUGAAACCACCCAAAGAAGCUGGGGAUGAAGAAGGAAAGCUAUGGCAAUUGAACAAGUGUGUUUAUGGUUUGAAUGAUGCAUCAAGAGUUUGGUAUUUUUCCAUGAGGUCUGUCCUGUUGAAACCAAGCAUUCAAUUAAAGGCAGACCCCGCAAUGUUCUACUGGUACCAUAAGGAGAAACUAGCCAGAAUCUUUAUCACGCAUGUUGAUGAUUUCCUGUGGGGAGGCUCUGUCGAAUCUGGACAAUGUGUAAUCGAGAAGAUAAAGAAGGAAUUCCAGGUCAGAAGUCAGGCUUCAGGGGUCUUUAAAUCCAUAGGUUUAGACAUUAAGCAGAGCAAGUUAGGAGUGACAGUGAAUCAACAAUCUUAUCUAGAAAAUGUUAAUCAUAUCGCAAUAAUUCAGGUUAGAUGCUCACAAAAAGAGGAUCCUGCUACCAAGGCAGAAACAGAACAGUUGAGAAGUUUGAUUGGACAGUUGAACUGGCUGUGCACUCAGACUAGGCCUGAGACGCUAGUUAUGAUGUGUUGGAGCUGAGUACUAUGAUGAAACAUGCUACAGUUAAGCAAGUUCUGAGGGCAAAUAAAACACAAAAAAAAAAAUUUCCCAGAGAUGAUGUGUGCUCAAGUUUCCAGCCUUGGGUGAUCCAGAAGAUGCGAGGUUGGUCAUUUUUAGCGAUGCUUCACAUGCCAAUCUUCCAAAUGGGUACUCUAGAACAGCAGGGUUUAUCAUAUUCUUGGUGGGAAAGAAUGAUAAAUUUGCCUGCUGGCUUGGGAGGACAAGAAAAUAAAAAGGGCAGUGAAAAGCACCUUAGCUGCUGGAAUGCUGGCCUUGGUAGAAGCAUUAGAUAUGGGGGUUUACUUAUCCAAUAUACUGACAGAAAUGUUAUAUAAGGGGCAAUGUGGGGAAAGUUUGCCCAUAGAAUGUUAUGUUGAUAACCGGUCUCUGGGACAACGUUCAAUCCACAAAAAGUGUCACUGAAAAAAGGCUAAGAAUAGACGUAGCCAGCAUAAAAGAAAUGUUCGAUAGAAGGGAGAUCCCUAAGAUAAAAUGGAUUGACACAAGUCACCAACUAUCAGACUGUUUUACGAAAAGAAGUGCCUGCUCUAAGAAAUUAUUAAACGUAUUGGAAGAGGGUGUCUUAUAAUGAUGUAAUGAAAACCACUUUUGUUUUGUAAUUGUUAUUUAGUAAAGGAAAUAUGGGAAUUAUA